UCAUUCAACCAAGCCAAAAACGCCAUACUUUGCAUUUACACGGACCCAUUAUCUAACGGAACGGUGACAGUGAAAGCGAUACUAUUCCGAAACUCACAAGAGGUUUCGUAUCAUCUUAAUGGAAAGCACAUUGCACCAAACAGUAUUCCUACUCAUUUUUCAUCAAUGGAAGACAUAUCAAACUUAACAAGGAGUUUUCACGAAAAAAACAUUUGCGUUGGUAUUGUUGGAAGCCAGUUUAAAGAUGGCGAGUUUUCAUUACGGCUCUCCGUAGUUUUUGACGCCAAUGGAGUCAUUCGAUCAGGCUUCUGCAAAAUUCUAAUGGACAAAAAAAAAACGAUGUGUGAAAUGUAGCACUUUAAAAUGUUACCUACAGAAAAGGAUGAAAAGCAGAAAGCCCGAAGAUUCUUUAACACAAUCAGACUCCACAAAAAAAAAAAAAAAUCUGCAUUGACCCAGAAAAAUGAAGAACUGUAUCGUUGUCGGAUGCAAAAGAACAUUUACCAAUGUAGGGCAAAGGAUGCAUCAACUAUAAUUGCCAAAUUGCGUCGUGAGUGUAGGAUAAUGGUCCACAAGGAUUCAAGGAAUGGACUCGACCGUGUAUUAAUGCAUCUAUCUGAAACGGAGAAACAGGUUGUCAAAAUGUUUAUUGCCAAGGCAGCAAUAGAUCCGGCGCAUGGCAAACACCGUCGCACAAUGCGAUUCGAACACUCCUUCCUAAUUCAGUGUGCCAUUCUCAGAAUGAAAAGUCACACAGCAUAUGAUAAUCU